GCAGCUGCUAUGGCCUGGGGUCUUCAGAAUGCUGUGGAGGACACAGAUAUCAAGGAGAUAGGACCCCUGCCCUGGAGAAGCGCACAGGAUAAAGAGAAGAGGGACACGCAUCCAGGUAGAAAUGACCAGCAGGUGUCUGAUAAAGGAGUGAGCAAACAGUGCGAGACACAGCAAAGAGGGGAAUCUCGGAGGACUUCUCAGAGGAAGGGGUCUUUGCCAAAGACCCAGAUGGACUGGGCUUACAAUUGGUAGAUUGAGAGGGAAGGCUAGCUCAGGCUGAGGAAGUAGCCUGAAUACAAAGGCGCAGAGGAGAAAAGGCCAGGAUGGGUGGUUAGCUAGCUAUGGCUGGAGGGUGAGCUGUCGUGCCUGGUGUAGGGACCAUGAGCCUGGAAAGGUCACGUGGGCCCAGUGAUGAAAAGCCUUGACUGGGAGUUCCUGUGGUGGCUCAGGGGUUAAGGAACCCGACUAGGAUCCAUGAGGAUGUGGGUUCAAUCCCUGGCCUCACUCAGUGGAUGAAGGAGCUGGAGGUGCCGUGAGCUGUGGUAUAGGCCGGCAGCGGUAGCUCCAAUUCGACCCCGAACCUGGGAACUUCCAUAUGCCGUGGGUGUGGCCCUAAAAAGCCAAAAAAUGAAAAGGAAAAAAGAAAAGCCUUGACUACUUCCUUCUACGUAAUUGUCCCCAAACUUCAGAACGUGGCUUCGGGGUGGGGAUCCGCCUCCCCAUGUUUUCGCACAGAGAAACCAGGGAUUGCAGCAAAUUCUGACUCCACCUUCCUUCCUCCCCCACCAUCAGCAAGAGGUCCUCCUUGGAGGCCCCUCUGUUCCUUGAGGGUGACCUAGUGCAUCCUCAAGAUACUGGUGACAACAUAUUAAGGUGCCAUUUCCCCCAGGGACGUGCUCCCGGAAGUGUGGUGACGUGGGCGGGACACUGGACUGGGAGAUGGGACACGUGGGUUCUAGUCUGGACCCCCUCACCAACUGGGGGACAUUGUGCAAGUCACUUCCUCGCUCUGGGUCUUGCUUUCCUCAUCUCCAAGGUGAGGCCCUGAACUCAAGGUCUGCCUACUCCUUGACCCUGUGAGUGGUGAAAUGGGGCUCGGAGACAAGCUCAGGUCCCUGACUGCCAGUGAGGGAGAAAAACAAGUGAAAUGAAAGGUGCGGGGGUGGGGGGGGCCCCGGCGACACGCUGCUCUGGCAACAGACAGCCUCAAAGUCAGCUCGAAGUGGGAAGCAGGGCCUCACAAAAGAACGGCAGCCUGAACACCCCUGAGAGGGAACAUCCCUGUGAUGUUCUGCCAGGUGGAUUGGACCAGAAAGGGCUUUCCAGGCAGCAGGAGCUGUGUGGACCAAAGCAGGGAGGGAGAGCAGUUCCUGCUUGGCUCAGCAGGUAAAGCAUCUGGUGUUGUCACUGCUGUGGCUCUGGUUACCGCUGUGGCACAGGUUCAAUCCCUGACCAGGGAACAUCUGCGUGCCACACACGCAGUUUAAAAAAACAAAAAAAAAAGGCGCGCGCGCGCGCGCGCACACACACACACACACACACACACACACACGCAGGGAGGGAGGCAAUGGCAAGUGUAGAGGUGGAAAGAGAAUGGCUGGAAGGGGAAGUGUGGUUGCAGGGGCUGCCUGCUGGAACAACUGGUGGCCAGCUGAUUGCAGCAUGGGUAGAUGCCUGAACAGGCAUGGGCCUCCCCUGUGGCCCUCCCUCCCCGUAUGUGAUAAGGGAGGGGUGAAUUACUACAAACUGCUUCCUACUUGGUGGCUGGGGAUGGAAAAGUGGGUGGGCAUCCUUCUGAGCAGGCAUCCCUGGGUGCAGCGUUAGGGAAACAGGAUACAGGCUCCCUGGAGCUGCAGCCUGGAUACACACAGCACUAAACCAUUACCUGAGACAAAAAGAAUGAAUGAUUCAGGCAGCGUGCAUUCAAGGCUGAGGGCUCUCUCCCAGGGCCCUCUCCUCUGGGCCAGGCAUUCCAUAGCCUUUGAUAAAUGCUUGAACUUUUUUAUAUACACCCCAUCCCCCACCCCCAAUAAGACUGAGCUUUAUGAGCGUAAAGACAGUAUCUUUGCCAUCUUUGUCGUCCCCUCAAGUUUUGGCUCCCUACUUUAGAGUUACCCAGAACAGAUUCCACCUCUGGCUGAGCUCUUCAUCCUGCUCUUCGACCUUUUCAUUUGUUUUUUCUGCUUUGCUUUUGCGGGCCUCACCUGCAGCAUAGGGAAGCUCCCUGACUAGGGGUCAAAGUGGAGCUACAGCUGCCUGCCAAGCCGACACCACAGCCACAGCAACGCAGGAUCUGAGCCACAUCUGCGACCUACACCACAGCUCAUGGCAACACCGGAUUCUUUACCCACUGAGUGAGGCCAGGGAUCGAACCUGUACUCUCCUAGAUAUUAGGCUCAUUCCCGCUGAGCCACAGUGAGAACUUCCUCGCUACCUUGUUAUAGUCACUCAGCCUUUCUGACUGGAGACAGGGAUGAUCACACGAGGUCACACAUGUUAUUGAGGAAGGGGUUUGAUUAGAUGGAUUCUCGAGGCUGCACCUGCAAAGCAGCUCCCACUCCCUGGGCCCGCUGUGGACGCAGCCAUGGUGACUCUUGUUGUGACCUUGAGUGGAGCAGGGAAGCCCUUGCCCUCUCUGGCCUUCUAGUCUCUUAGCCUGUAAACGAAGGUGCUCAACUAGUUCUCUUGGCUUCUCCUUGAAAAUCUCGGUGACCAGUGCUUCCUGCAGGAGGAGUCUCCUUGCUACGGGCUUUCCAGGAAACGCCCCUGCCCUGAGAUAAAGGCAUCCGUGUGGUCCUCAGUUCUGCAACUCUAAGACUUAGAGGAGAAGUUCGUGGAUCCUUCCAUGGAUGAACCUCGGGUGACCCAGGAGCCUCCUAAAUUGGAUGCAGAAGUCUGUGAGAGUCUAUUUUCUGGGAAGAAGAUCUAUAUAUUUUUUAAUAACUUUUUUUUGGCCAUGCCAAAGUUCCUGGGCCAGGGGUUGAAUCCAGGCCACAGCAGCAACCCAAACUGCUGAAGUGACAACACUUUGUCCUUAACCUGCUGUGCCACAGGAAGACUACCUAUAACACUUUUUCUUUUUCUUUUUUUUUUUUUUUCUUUUGGUCUUUCUAGGGCCACACCCGCAGCCUAUGGAGGGUCCCAGGCUAGAGGUCGAAUCGGAGCUGUCGCUGCCGGCCUACGCCAGAGCCACAGCAAUGCAGGAUCCAAGCCACAUCUGCAAACUACACCACAGCUCACAGCAACACUGGAUUCUUAACCCACUGAGCGAGGCCAGGAAUCAAACUUGCAUCCUCAUGGAUACUAGUCAGAUUCAUUUCCGCUGAGCCCCAACAGGAACUCCCCCAUAGCAUUUUUUUUUUUUUUUUUUUUUUUUGUCUUUUUGCUAUUUCUUUGGGCCGCUCCUGCGGCACAUGGAGGUUCCCAGGCUAGGGGUCGAGUCGGAGCUGUAGCCCCCGGCCUACGCCAGAGCCGCAGCAACUCGGGAUCCGAGCCUCGUCUAAAACCUACACCACAGCUCACAGCAACACCGGAUCGUCAACCCACUGAGCAAGGGCAGGGACCGAACCCGCAACCUCAUGGUUCCUAGUUGGAUUCGCUAACCACUGCGCCACGACGGGAACUCCCCAUAGCAUAUUUUUAACUGAUGUAUAGUUGAUUUACAAUAUUGCAUUAGCAAGCAAAGCAAUUCAGUAAUACAUACAAAUAUAUAUAGAUUCUCUCUCAGGUUCUUUUCUAUUAUAGGUUAUUACAAGAUAAUGAAUAUAAUUCCCUGUGCUAAAGAGUAGGCCCUUAUUGGGUUUUUUGGGUUUUUUUUUUUUUUUUUUUGGCCUUUUUUUAGGGCCAAACCCUAGGCAUGUGGAGGUUACCAGGCUAAGGGUUGGAUUGCAGCUGUAGCUGCCAGCCUAUGCCACAGCCACAGCAACGCCAGAUCGGAGCUGCAUCUGUGAUGUAAGCCAGAGCUCACAGCAACGCCGGAUCUGAUUGGGGCCGGGGCCGGAACCCGAAACCUCAUGGUUCAUAGUCAGAUUCGUUUCCACUGCGCCACGAUGGGAACUCUGGGCUUUGUUCUUUAUGUAUUUUAUAUACGGUAGUGUAGAUCCGUCAAUGCCAUACCCCUAAUUUAUACCUCCCCCCACUUUCCCCUUUGGUAACCAUAAUUUUGUUUUCUAUGUCUGUGAGUCCGUUUUGUUUUGUAAAUAAAUUCAUUAGUAUUAUUUUUUAGAGUCCACAUAUAAGUGAUAUCAUAUAAUAAUUAUCUUCGUCCGACUUACCUCACUUAGUGUAAUUUUUAGGUUCAUCCAUGUUGCUGCAAAUGGCAUCAUUUCAUUAUUUUUAUGGCUGAGUAAUAUUCCAUUGUAUAUAUACCUCAUUGUCUUUAUCCAAUCCUCUGUUGAUGGAUAUUUAGGUCGCUUCCAUAUCUUGGCUAUUGUAAACAGUGUGGCUCUGAACAUUGGGGUGCAUGUAUCUUUUCAAAUGAGAGUUUUCGUCUUUGUCAGAUGUUGGAUCAUACAAUAACUCUAUUUUCAGUUUUCUAAGGAACUGCCAUACUGUCCUGCAGAGUGGCUGCACCAGUUUACAUUCCCACUAAUAGGGUAGGAGAGUUCCUAAGAAGGUUCACAUGAAUUGCCAUUUUAAUUCCCAGUAUCAGACCACUAUCCUCAAAGGUCCUUGGGAGUUUGGAGUGAGUCUCCAAUGUCCACCCAGUACAGUGUGGAUGGUUUUGGAGUGAAAUCAAUGAAUAAAUAUUUGUGAAUUGAUAUUAUCCUCUUUGUUCAGGAUAUGUAACAGAUCUGAUUAUGUUCAAUUCCAUGGCAACCACUCCCCCAAAUUCUCUAGUUUUAUGCAAAUUCACAGACUCCUCCAUAUUUUCCACACCCAGAGCUCCCUUUCCUAGAGCCGAUGGGUAUAAACUGCGUUUUAAAAAAUAAAGUAGGAGUUUCCAUCAUGGCUCAGUGGUUUAACAAACCUGACUAGUAUCCAUGAGGAUGCAGGUUCGAUCCCUGGCCUUGCUCAGUGGGUUAAGGAUCUGAUGUUGCCUUGAGUUUUGGUGUAGGUUGCAGACGUGGCUCUGAUCCCUCCUUGCUGUGACUGUGGUGUAGGCUGGAGGCUACAGCUCCGAUUCGAUCCCUAGCCUGGGAACCUCCAUAUGCCGUGGGUGUGGCC
rnacentral:lncRNA from 1 species